rnacentral:misc_RNA from 1 species
AAGACUAUAGACCUGCGGAGUACCUGCGGAAGGAUCAUUAACGUAUCUAUGAUGGGGUGCGGAGCGCCCUGCUCCGGUCGAACGGCCGUGCAGCGGGUGCGCCGCCCCCGUCCCACCUCGCAAACCCACUGUGAACAUUCACCGGUGGAGGGGGCUCGGUCUGCGCCGUGUCCCCGAUGCCGAAUACCCAAACUCCAGUUGCAAAGAACGUCGUGCGGACUCGGUGCCGCCUAAAACAUG